AACGAACGCUGGCGGCAGCCCUAACACAUGCAAGUCGAGCGAGGACUUCGGUCCUAGCGGCGGACGGGUGAGUAACGCGUGGAACGUGCCCCUUGCUUUGGACUACCCCUGGGAAACUGGGAGUUAUACCGGACGAGCCCUUUGGGGGAAAGAUUUAUUGGCCAAGGAUUGGCCCUCGUUGGAUUAGGUUGUUGGUGGGGUAAUGGCCUACCAAGCCGCCGAUUCAUAGGUGGGUUGAGAGGAGGAUUAGCCACACCGGGACUGAGACGCGGCCCAGAAUCCUACGCGAGGCAGCAGUGGGGAAUCUUGGACAAUCGGGGAAGCCCUGAUCGAGCCAGGACGCGUGAGCGAUGAAGGCCUUAGGGUUGUAAAGCUCUUUCAGCUGGGAAGAUAAUGACGGUACCAGCAGAAGAAGCCCCGGCUAACUCCGUG
rnacentral:rRNA from 1 species